GUAUUUUAUACAUAUCUAUUUUUUAUAUAUAUUUCCCCUCGUUAAGUAGUCAGUAAAGUUUUGUGGGUAACAAAAUACUUGGUUGGAAUUUAUAUAUGUACAUUUUUUUAGAAAUAAACAUUGCAUUUGGAAGCUAGCAAGCUAUCUAGCGUAAAGGCUAUUAGCUACAUGAAUGACCUGUGGGAAUAGCUUGAGCAAGCCAACUUCCUGUUGAGCAUGAGAAUGAAGUGGAUUGUGUAAUGAUUAAUUGUGGCCAGACAACAUGGUGUCACCGUUUUCCCCUGAAUGAUAUAAAAGACGAGCCAAAUAAAAAAUACAAAGGGUCGCAGAUGAGUUGGAGCCUGUGCUAUCUGACAUUUUGGUGAGCGGAUACCCUGAACAAGUCGCCGACCAAUCGGAGAACAGGAAUCUAGACUACCCAGAAAAAAAAACAAGACAAGCACAGAAAGAAUGAAAAGUCCACGCAGGAAUCCCUCCGUCGAGAUUCAACCCAACAACUUCUUGACUGUAAGACGGAUGGGCUAACCACUCUCCACCUUGGCGCCCACGUCCGUUUUCCAUUCAGCUUCCACUAUGCUGAAAAAGUCUUGCUCGGCUCUGGCAAUCAACUGCUCGGGGGUCUCCUCUCGCCCCGCCGCGUCUCGGCCCGCUUCGUCUUCUCGGCUCUGCUCGGAG